AUUUGACUCUUUUUGUCAAACUUGUGCGAGACGAACCACCGCAUUUCUAUCGUGUUUCAGCCAUGAACCAAACUGCCGGAGCAACAAACAACUACCGUAGAUGUUCCAAAGGGGGAAAGAUCUGGGGCCAAAGGAGAAUAAGUGUAUGGAUGAGAACUGACCCAAUCAGCCCAGCUGCAGUCAAAUGUGGCAGAGUUUUGAGGUGCUGCAAUCCAAGGCAAAAUCUGUUUCUUUUAAAAAAAACAGCCUGCUGCUGCCAACAAACCAACUCGUCAUUGUCGUCAUAUAAUGACUUAAACAGCCUCUUUCUGGUGUAGGGCUGGGCAUAGACUGGCUUGCUUUGGCCAGAAUAUUAUUCACAGCAAUGUUAGGCCUAAUUGCAUGCAACUCAUGUGAACUGAAUUAAAGGCUAAUCAGGAGCAAUCUAUGUGAGGUCACUCGCUCUCGGCAUUUAAACGUGAUGGAUGUACAGUAUAAACAGUGAGGGGUGGGGAGGCAUAAAGGGAAAUGUGGGGAUGGAGGGGUGGGGCUAUGUGGUCAUGUAUGAAUGUACCCUAUUAGCUGAGAAACAUGAUUGACUAAGCCUCAACCUCCAGGACUUUUGUCCCUCAUGCUGAUGAAAUGCAUGUAUAGCAUCAGCAUGCCAUUAAGUGCCAUGCACCACAUUCUUUUUCCAUUUAACAUAGGCUACUGUAACAAACAGCAUUUCGUCUGAUAAGCAGCCUCUAUCCUCUAAUAAAAACUGUGCUAAAUAC